GACGAACGCUGGCGGCGUGCUUAACACAUGCAAGUCGAACGGAAAGGCCCUGCUUUUGUGGGGUGCUCGAGUGGCGAACGGGUGAGUAACACGUGAGUAACCUGCCCUUGACUUUGGGAUAACUUCAGGAAACUGGGGCUAAUACCGGAUAGGAGCUCCUGCUGCAUGGUGGGGGUUGGAAAGUUUCGGCGGUUGGGGAUGGACUCGCGGCUUAUCAGCUUGUUGGUGGGGUAGUGGCUUACCAAGGCUUUGACGGGUAGCCGGCCUGAGAGUGUGACCGGCCACAUUGGGACUGAGAUACGGCCCAGACUCCUACGGGAGGCAGCAGUGGAGAAUAUUGCACAAUGGGCGGAAGCCUGAUGCAGCAACGCCGCGUGCGGGAUGACGGCCUUCGGGUUGUAAACCGCUUUCGCCUGUGACGAAGCGUGAGUGACGGUAAUGGGUAGAGAAGCACCGGCUAACUACGUG
rnacentral:rRNA from 1 species